GAUCAUAACUACAGUGAUUGUGUGUCUGCAGCACAUAUUCACCAACAACAUCGCCAAAGCCUACUACAGAAUAUACACACAGCCCCUCCCCCUCAGCUGGGGAGGAGAAAGGUAGUGCUGAUCGGGGGGACGAGGAGCCACAUGAUACUACCCGGAAGCAAGAACGGGCAUCCGUAGCGGCACGCGUGUGACACGCACAGACGCCCGGACCACGGACCAGCAGCAAGUGGGACAAGCAUACCGCCAUGCAGACAUGUCAAAAUGGGGCCACACCAUCCGGAUCAGAGGACACAGGUAAUAGGAAUUUGAAACCUGGAAUUUCUGCAGACUAUUUCUCCUGAUGUGCUGCAUAUUACAUUGCUCGGUAAUCACAAUUGACUACAACCACCAACAUAUUCUGCUGCACUAUAUCUGUAUAUGCAAAGCUAAUUCUGCUAGGUAAUUACAAUUGACUACAACCACCAACAUAUUCUGCUGCACUAUAUCUGUAUAUGCAAAGCUAAUUCUGCUAGAUAAUUACAAUUGACUACAACCACCAACAUAUUCUGCUGCACUAUAUCUGUAUAUGCAAAGCUAAUUCUGCUAGGUAAUUACAAUUGACUACAACAACCAACAUAUU